CUUGUGUUGAUGCCAGUUCCAGAGAUUUCCUUGCCCUGUUGUCCUCCCACCCUAGCCCAAAUCUAUCUGUUUCCUCUUUUCUCUGUAAGAACAGUUGGCCGCGCAUGAUUCCUCCCUACAAGUCUGUCCAGAGAGGGAAGUGAUUCACUGAAGAACAGAUUGGCACUACUUGUAAAUCCCUGCUGAUGAGACUCCAAUCCUCCACUCCAG